UACGUAGGGUGCAAGCGUUGUCCGGAAUUAUUGGGCGUAAAGAGCUCGUAGGCGGUUUGUCGCGUCUGCUGUGAAAACUCGGGGCUUAACCCCGGGCCUGCAGUGGGUACGGGCAGACUAGAGUGCGGUAGGGGAGACUGGAAUUCCUGGUGUAGCGGUGAAAUGCGCAGAUAUCAGGAGGAACACCGGUGGCGAAGGCGGGUCUCUGGGCCGUAACUGACGCUGAGGAGCGAAAGCGUGGGGGAGCGAAACAGG
rnacentral:rRNA from 1 species